rnacentral:rRNA from 1 species
GACGAACGCUGGCGGCGUGCUUAACACAUGCAAGUCGAACGGAAAGGCCCUGCUUUUGUGGGGUGCUCGAGUGGCGAACGGGUGAGUAACACGUGAGUAACCUGCCCUUGACUUUGGGAUAACUUCAGGAAACUGGGGCUAAUACCGGAUAGGAGCUCCUGCUGCAUGGUGGGGGUUGGAAAGUUUCGGCGGUUGGGGAUGGACUCGCGGCUUAUCAGCUUGUUGGUGGGGUAGUGGCUUACCAAGGCUUUGACGGGUAGCCGGCCUGAGAGGGUGACCGGCCACAUGGGGACUGAGAGACGGCCCAGACUCCUACGGGAGGCAGCAGUGGGGAAUAUGGCACAGUGGGCGGAAGCCUGAGGCAGCAACGCCGCGUGCGGGAUGACGGCCUUCGGGUUGUAAACCGCUUUCGCCUGUGACGAAGCGUGAGUGACGGUAAUGGGUAAAGAAGCACCGGCUAACUACGUG